CCCCGCCGCCGCCGCCCGCCGCCGCUGCUCGCCAUCCCACCCGCCGCCGCCGCUCGCCAUCCCUCCCCGAGCGGCACUCCCAGACCCUCAACACGCCGCGCGCCGCCGCUCGCCAUCCCCCGCCACCGCCGCUCCCACACCCUAAGCACGCCGCGCUCCGCCAUCGUCGCGUCCUCUGAUCCUCGCGUCACCGCCAGUCGCCAUCCCUCGCCGCCGCCGCCGCCGCUCGGCAUCCCCCGCAUCCGCCGCUCGCUCCAUCGACGAUCUGCGCCGCCCCGACCUCUGCUCGUGUAGAGCAUGCCUAUCCCCCGGCCGAUUCGCAGCGUGGCUGGAGAAGGAAGCUCGAGGCCUCGAGCGCUGCCGCCCAUUCAUCUCCCGAGCCCAAGUGCCGCCGGCCGAUUGGAGCCUGUCCUUCGCCGAUUCGAGCCAGUCCGCGCCGAUUCGUCGUCCUCCACAGGUGGUCCUCUCCUCCCCCGCUCGAGCGCGGCUGCCGCUGUGUGAGCUACACCCCCGCUCAAGCCCAUCUCUGCCCCAAGCUUGACGCCGGUGUCGCUGCUGCCCACAGGCCCUCCGCCCCAAGGUUGUCAGGCUGGAGGUCCCGCAGGUCCACUGCGGAGCUCGCUCACGCAGGCCCGAAGUCUGGAUCUCGCACGGAUCCGGCAAGGACUGGUCCGGCAGCUCCCUGCUACGACGUUCUUAUCGGGUGGCUUUCCAUUGGAGGCAGUGGUGAGAUUGAAGCCUUAGGGGCUAGGUAAGAGGCCGAGAGCAAUGAGCUCCAAGGGUGUACAAAGGCGCGGCCAGGAUGACAAAUGCGGAAGAGAGACCUGGACCGGAGAGAUACUGCAGACUUCGGGCCCGCCGUCCCAGACCCUACUUCUUCAUCCCAGUGCUGAUUCCAUUUUGUGCUAACAUUGAUGCUUCAAGCAGUCGAUUUGCUUGUUUCGGCUGCGCAGCAACUGCUACAUGGCGCAGCCGAUGGCUUGCUCGGUGGGCAAGCUGCCUGACAGCCUUGCUGGCAGGGAUCCUUAAUGAUGCGGGCAACACAGAUCUAGCGACAGCCAGCACAUGAUUGAUGCUAGUGACGCAUCAUCUUGUGCAAGACCAAGAACAGCAACAUCGAAUCCGUACUGGACAAAGCACGAGAGUGCAGAUCAUGAGUACAUCAGCAUAGGUGUCUUUGCCAGUACAUUUGUUAUUUGCAAUGAGGAACCUAAUUUAGUGACGUGCACAUGAUUACUCUAUUAUUCAUUACUAAUUUCCCUGUGUGUGCAGAUUGGAGAGAGGGUCAAAGCAUCUUCGGCAGGCAUGACUAUGUGACUGCUCAACUAGAAGGAUCGAUCCAAAGAGCUGCGUGCUGAGACAUUGUACUACCUCACUUUUCAUAAGCAGAACAAGAUUGUCACGCUGCCUGACGAAAUACUUCAAUACCGUCGAGAUGAUCAUCACCCUUUUUUCUAUCAAUUUUUUUUGUUUCAUUACAACCUUUUCCUAUUUCAAUUUUUAUUCAUUUGUACCUCUACAGAUUUCACAUUCUAUGUCUACUUGAAUAGUCUUCUGAAAUGUUGUGUAUCUUGUCGGGGCAAUUGGCGGUUCGCAAAGCUUAUGCGAGAAUUGGCUCGUGAGAUAGGUGUGGCUGGAGUCAUUUGUUACCAUGUAGUACACUUUUGAGGAGACAUGUCUUGAUGUAGUUUUUUGUUCUGUUUUAAGCAUGUAUGCCUCUCCUACGAGGCCGCUGCACCUGGCUUUCCUAUCACUAUUGCUUUCCUCUUGCUACUGCAAUGGAAAUGUGACACCAGUAAUGUAGCACAAGGUUUCACCUUUUUUGUCGUA